AUUGAACGCUGGCGGCAGGCUUAACACAUGCAAGUCGAGCGGGGUGAGGUGCUUCGGUACUGAUCCUAGCGGCGGACGGGUGAGUAAUGCUUAGGAAUCUGCCAUUUAGUGGGGGACGACAUUCCGAAAGGAAUGCUAAUACCGCAUACGUCCUACGGGAGAAAGCAGGGGAUCUUCGGACCUUGCGCUAAAUGAUGAGCCUAAGUCGGAUUAGCUAGUUGGUGGGGUAAAGGCCUACCAAGGCGACGAUCUGUAGCGGGUCCGAGAGGAUGAUCCGCCACACUGGGACUGAGACACGGCCCAGACUCCUACGGGAGGCAGCAGUGGGGAAUAUUGGACAAUGGGCGGAAGCCUGAUCCAGCCAUGCCGCGUGUGUGAAGAAGGCCUUUUGGUUGUAAAGCACUUUAAGCGAGGAGGAGGCUACCUGGAUUAAUACUCUGGAUAGUGGACGUUACUCGCAGAAUAAGCACCGGCUAACUCUGUGCCAGCAGCCGCCGUAAAAC
rnacentral:rRNA from 1 species